rnacentral:rRNA from 1 species
UACGUAGGUGGCAAGCGAUACUCGGAAUCACUAGGCGUAAAGCGCAGGUAGGCGGCUCGAUAAGUCUCUUGUGAAAGCUCCCGGCUCAACUGGGAGAGGUCAAGGGAAACUGUUGGGCUAGAGUGUGGUAGAGGAAACUGGAAUUCCCGGUGUAGCGGUGAAAUGCGUAGAUAUCAGGAAGAACACCCGUGGCUAAGGCGGCUCUCUAGUACGGUACUGACGCUGAGACGCGAAAGCGUGGGGAGCGAACAGG